AGUGGCGCACGGGUGCGUAACACGUAUGUAACCUACCUUUGUCAGGGGGAUAGCCUCUCGAAAGAGAGAUUAAGCCCGCAUAACAUGAAGACACAGCAUUGUGAUUUCAUCAAAUAUUUAUAGGACAAAGAUGGGCAUGCGGAACAUUAGCUAGUUGGCGGGGUAACGGCCCACCAAGGCUACGAUGUUUAGGGGAUCUGAGAGGAUGACCCCCCACACUGGUACUGAGACACGGACCAGACUCCUACGGGAGGCAGCAGUAAGGAAUAUUGGUCAAUGGGCGCAAGCCUGAACCAGCCAUGCCGCGUGUAGGAAGACGGCCCUACGGGUUGUAAACUGCUUUUAUACGGGAAUAAACCUUGAUACGUGUAUCAAGCUGAAUGUACUGUAAGAAUAAGGAUCGGCUAACUCCGUGCCAGCAGCCGCGGUAAUACGGAGGAUCCAAGCGUUAUCCGGAUUUAUUGGGUUUAAAGGGUGCGUAGGCGGCCUGUUAAGUCAGGGGUGAAAGACGGUAGCUCAACUAUCGCAGUGCCCUUGA
rnacentral:rRNA from 1 species